GCCUCCAAAGACGCCCGUGUAGCUGCUGGCGCGUGGGGCGCGGGUCGGAGUGAGGAUCCCAGGCAGCGGGAGUCCGGAAUCGCCCCCGGGAAAGAGCAAACCCGCUGGUGAUCCAUGAGGUUGACCUGCAGACGGCACUGAGUCCUGAGCCAAAUAUUCAAGAGCCUAUUGUGUACAAGGCACUGGUGACAGAGUGACAGAAGCCACAUCAGGAACACAGACAGCUUUAUUCUCAAACACUAUGUCUGACAGUCAGAAUGCACAUUAACAUAUUGAAGGCUCUGAGAAGUCCUGCAGUACCUCGAUCUCACUUUCUUGAAGCCGGUAUUUCCUGAAUUGAUUGGGUCAUAGAGACUUUGGGUUCUGGUUUUUGAGGCUCUUCAGCCCUCGGUGACAGUGUUCAUCAGGCAAAAGGUAGAGUAGCAUUUCCCCGCCCCCAUCCAUGUGACUUGCUUUGGUCAACAGGUUGAAGGCCAAAGGGAUAGUUAUCACUUCUGGAUGACAACGUUUGAGCACCAUAUUCCUUUCCCACUGUCGCUGCAAUCAGUGACCCUCCAGAUGGGGAGACAGUUUCAGGCUAGGCCAGCCAAGACUGAUGGGUAUGCAGUAUAAGAAAUCAACCUUCUGGGGGAAUCUUUGUUAAAGGCCACCUAACCCAGACUAACCUAACUGAUCAAAUCCCUUAGUGAUACCCGCAAGGACACCAGCUUUUGAGAAACUUGGUUCACGAAGUAUAGAUCUGGCCCCGUGAGUAGUCGAAAUGCAGUUUAGUGACUACGCUGGCUCCCUUAAUAAAAUGAAACCUCAAAUCUCAGAGGUCAUGAGGAAGGGACACUGG